rnacentral:rRNA from 1 species
AGUGAACGCUGGCGGUAGGCCUAACACAUGCAAGUCGAACGGCAGCACAGUAAGAGCUUGCUCUUACGGGUGGCGAGUGGCGGACGGGUGAGGAAUACAUCGGAAUCUACUUUUUCGUGGGGGAUAACGUAGGGAAACUUACGCUAAUACCGCAUACGACCUACGGGUGAAAGCAGGGGAUCUUCGGACCUUGCGCGAUUGAAUGAGCCGAUGCCGGAUUAGCUAGUUGGCGGGGUAAAGGCCCACCAAGGCGACGAUCCGUAGCUGAUCUGAGAGGAUGAUCAGCCACACUGGAACUGAGACACGGUCCAGACUCCUACGGGAGGCAGCAGUGGGGAAUAUUGGACAAUGGGCGCAAGCCUGAUCCAGCCAUGCCGCGUGGGUGAAGAAGGCCUUCGGGUUGUAAAGCCCUUUUGUUGGGGAAGAAAAGCAGCAGGUUAAUACCCCGCUGUUCUGACGGUACCCAAAGAAUAAGCACCGGCUAACUUCGUG